UCUCUUUUAGAAUAUAAUUUUAAGUCUAAUCUGCUCAAUGAAUUUCUUUAAAUAGCUGCAGUAAUUUAACUGUACAAAGGUAGCAUAAUCAAUAGUUUUUUAAUUGGAAGCUGGAAUGAAAGAUUGAAUGAAAUAAUAAUUGUCUCAGAUUUAAUUUUAUUAGAAUUUUUUUUUAAGUUAAAAAACUUAAUUGAAUUUAAAAGACGAGAAGACCCUAUAGAUUUUUAUAAUUU
rnacentral:rRNA from 1 species